UUUUUCUUCUGAAAGAUCUCUUUUCUUUUUGCAGUAAAUGUGAGUGUAUCUAGCAUUUGCCCAGAACUUAUUAGGACUAGGUAAACCAUUGUGUCUACAGCAGAAUCAACAAGAUGCCUCCAAGACACCACAGCUCUAAAGGAAACACCAUUAAUCCUUUGACAUGAAUCUUUUACACUUAGAUUCUCCACUUAAAAGGUCUGUACUUGAGGGAGUUCCUCUCAUGGCUCAGCAGUAAUGAACCCAACUAGGAUCCAUGAGGAUGCGGGUUUGAUCCCUGGCCUUGCUCAGUGGGUUAAGGAUCUGGCAUUGCUAUGAGCUAUGAUGUAGGUCAUAGACGAGGCUCAGAUUCCACAUUGCUGGUGGAAGGCUGGCAGCUGCAGCUUUCAUUUGACACCUAGCCUGAGAACUUCCACAUGCUGCGGGUGCAGCCCUAAAAAAAGACCCCCCCAAAAAAUAUGCACUUAAGUUUUUUUUCCCCCUGAAUAUUGCUUUGUAUUAUUUAGUAGCCUGAUGGUUUUUCACUAACAAUAAAUUUGGAACAUUUUUAUAUUUUAAAUAUAAACUUUAUUUUAAUGGAUGUAUGAUAAAUCAUUAUCUACAUUUUGCAUAAAUGACAGCAGAUAGGGUCAUGAAAGGCAUGGACUCAGGUACUGACUCAAAUCCUAGCCAUUGACAAAUCUCUCUAUGCCUGAAUUUUCCUCAUUUAUAAAAUGAGAAUGAUAAUAAGACCUAAUUCAUAGGUUGCCAGAAUGAUUAAAAGGGUUAAUAUGUGGAAAAUGCCAGUAAAGUGCCUGAUACUACCAAGAACCUUGCUAAUAUAAUCAUGUCUCAUUUUUGCUAUUAAAUAGGAAGCUGCCAUGAAUCAUAGCUAAGUAAGUAGCUACCAAUAAUUAUAUAUAGCUAGGAGUUCCCGACGUGGCUCAAUGGUUAAUGAAUCUGACUAGGAACUAUGAGGUUGCCGGUUCGAUCCCUGGCCUUGCUCAGUGGAUUGAGGAUCUGGCAUUGCCGUGAGCUGUGGUAUAGGUUGCAGAUGUGGCUCAGAUCCAGCGUUGCUGUGGCUCUGGCAUAGGCCAGUGGCUACAACUCUGAUUCGACCCCUAGCCUGGGAACCUCCAUAUGCCGCGGGAGCGGCCCAAAGAAAUAGCAAAAAGACCCCCCAAAAAAAAAAAUCCCACAUAUAGCUAAAUCAUUGCACAUAUCUUAAUAAUUAAUACAAUAAUAGAGACUCAAUAUAUAUUUUUAGGCAUUUCAACAUCGGUUGCAAAGUUACCCCCCAGAAAUCUUGCAACAAUUUUCACAACCCACAGCAAUGUAUGAAAGUAACCAUUUCUUAUACCAGCUACCUUAGAAUGUCAUCCAAUUGUAAUAUGUGUCCACCUUAAAGGAUAAAAGAGAUAUUUCAUCUCCUUUCAUUAAUGUGAUUUUUUUGUUAUUAUUCCUGGAGACAUUUUAAAUUAUGUUCACAUAUUUUUAUCAACGCUUUUUGGUCCUUUUGUGAGUUGUUGAGNNNNNNNNNNNNNNNNNNNNNNAUUGUCCUUUACCUGUUCAGUUUUAGCUUUUUGGAAUUCCUAUCAGAAUACUGGACCUAGAACUGCCCUUUCUAUUCGUUAUCUUACUCUUGUUGUAUUAAUUUCCUAUCAUUUUCCUCCAGAAUAAAUGGUUCAACCUGAUUUUCUAAUUCAUGACAGCUCUUACCUAAGGAUUCAAUCAGCCUUUAAGCAUUUCCCUUGCAUUAUUUAAUUUUUAUUUAAUUAUUUUUACUUAUAAUAUAUUCAUGUGCGUCCACCUCCAGAAGUUAUAAAAAACUACAGAGCAUACUUCUGCUCUAGAAAAACAUAGUAGAUGUGCUUUUCCCUAUUCUGCUCACCAACUAUAACUAAAAACCCUGAAUAUCAUAUAUGACACAAGCAUAAAGCUAUGAAAGUAGAAAAAAGUAGAUGGGCCAGGAAGAAGGAAUGACACAGUGGUAAGUUUCCUAGAAUUUCCUUUGGCCUCAAAUAUCUCAGAUUUGGAGCUGAAGAACCAGGAAACCCAGAAACACCAAUGGACAUAUACCCAUAAUGCCCUAAAUGAAGUCUGCUCUCUCUAGCCAGGAGAAAGGACAGCCUAGCAAGAAAGAAAACUUUUGAACAAUAAUGGCUCUACUCCAGCCAAACACCACAGAAAAAAACAGCAUUCAUUCCCACCCAGGCCAGCAAAGGCUGGACGACCUAGGCCUUCAUCCUCCCCCAGCCAUGACAAGGUACUACGGGAAUGACAUCAGAUAAGUCUGAGUGGUCAGGAGCUAAGACUUUCAUCCUUACUAUGUUCUAAAUGAGUGUGGAGAAAGCAUUGAAGGCCAGUGUAUUAUAAAUGGGGGAGGCAAGGAUGUAAAGGGAGGCAGAGCUUCUAUAUUUCAUGUGAACUAGUAGAAUGUCAACACCAAUCGACUAUGAUAGGUUAUAUAUGUACCUAUAGUGGAAUACCUGGAGCAAACACUUACCGAACUAUCAAUAGAGAUAUACUUAAAUGCCCUACUGAGGAGUUCCCAUCAUGGCUCAGUGGUAGCAAACCCAGCUAGUAUCCAUAAGGACAUGGGUUCAAUCCCUGGUGCCACCCAGUGGGUUAAGGAUUCAGUAUUGCCAGGAGCUGAGCUGUGGUAUAGUAGGUUAUAGACACAGCUGAGAUCUGGCAUUGCUGUGGCUGUGGCACAGGCCAGCCGCUAUAGCUCGGAUUGGACCCUUAGCCUAGGAACUUUCAUAUACCACAAGUACAGCCCUAAAAAGACAAAAAAAAAAACCAAAAACAAAAACUACUACUGGUACAUCAGAACAGAAUUCUGAAAAAUGUUCAAGUAAUCCACAGGAAGUGAGGAGAAAGAAAACAGAAUGAAAAAAGUGAAAACGAACAGAAAGCAGCAAAUUAAAUGGCAGACUUAAGCCCUAACAUAUUAAUAAUUACAUUAAGUGUAUUGAUUGUGGUUUUUUUUUUCCAUGUUUGGAUGGGCUUCCUGUUCAAGACGGGAGACAGAACACACAUGUUUGCCUCACCACCUGGGGUCUCAGUGGACUCUAGAUUUUGAUACAUUUCUGGGAAACAGAAAGCAGAUGGAGCCUUGCUGACGGAAAACAGAACACAGGAAACAAAAGAAGGAUGCAGUAGACUGGAAACCAUUCUUCUUGGCUAAACUCUUGAAACUGUUUCCCUGGAUCUACUAACUAAAGCGUUGUCAUCUGGCAUUCGAGUCCAAUGGAUGGUGGUCUUUCUGUUGUCAGCGUCUGGGCCCUAUCAGUAAGUAUUUUGACCACUCCACCUAGUAAUAAAUCUUUUCAGUCAUUGCUUCCUCCAACCCAUCCAUUAAUUUUUUAUUCAUUCAUUCAUUUUUUAUUCAUUCAUUUUAUUCAUUCAUAGUCAAAUUGGUCAGAUUCCAGUCCCUCUUGUAGGUGCUGGGGAAACAUGAGUGAACACAAUGGACAAGGUCUUGGGUGUGGUGGUUUCUGUUCUAGUAGAAAACAAACAAUACACAUGAAAACAAAGAUACAAACAAGAUCAUUUUAAAUAGCAAUGAGUGCUAGGAAGGCAGAGACAUUGCUCAACCUAGUCUAUUUCUUCUACCUGCUCACCACAAAGUAUCAAUGAUUACAUGGCUACAGCAUUCCAGCAUCACUCAGGGUAGAUGGUACACAGCCUCUACCCUGAGUGAUGGGGUCUUCAUCACCAAUAGCAAGUGACACAACUCUAGACUCCCUUCCUUAGGGCGUGCUUCCUCAGACCACUCCAAGAUCACUGUUUUAGGGCAGUUUUCCUAAGAGCCUCGCCUAAGAUAAGGACUCCUACGCCAGUGACUUACAGAGGAAGUGCCCUCAGGGGAAAAGUCUUUAAGAAGGGAGGUAAACAGAAACGGCCACAAAGGAGCUGGGCAAAGGAGUGGUUUCAGCUGAAGUGUGACUCAGCUUGAUGUCACUGAGCACCCCAGGGCAUGAGUUAUACCACAGAGGUUGUCCUCCUCAGAGGCAAAGGCAACUAAACCAUUAUGCCUGUGCUUUGGUCAGCCUUGGGCUAGAAGCUUUCACGGGGCAGGCAGGGGAAUGACGGCAAUCAUUCCCCUGCCUGCCUCCGGUAUCACCACUUGACACCCAUGCUCCCAUCCCUGGAUGGCAGUCCUCUAGAGAGAAAUGUUACUGUAGCAGCUGGAGGAUGGCAAAGAGGAUCUGAAUGGAACUUUAAAGCCUCUGCUACACCACUAUGGUCUUCAAUUCUGCCACUCUGGGAAUGCGGCUGAAGUUCUUUUCCAUGUGCUUCCCAGACAGUCUUCUCUCAUGGAUCAUUAUCCAGAUUCACCUAUUUGUACCCUGCAAAACAAUCCUCAAAGUUUCUGACUUGUAGGUAGCACCUUUCCUAGUUACCACUGUUAAUAUAGUGCAUAAAUCCUCUCAUUGGACUUUUUUUUUUUUUAUUGACUCCACUUAAGUUUGGAAGAGGAGAAGGUUUUGAAAAAAAUGACACAAAGGAACAUAUAUACAAAACAAAUAGACCCACAGACAUAGAAAACAAAUCUAUGGUUACCAAAGGGGGAAAGGGUUGGGGGAGGGAUCAAAUAGGAGUUUAGGAUUAGCAGAUACACACUACUACAUAUAAAAUAGAUAACCAACAAAGACCUACUGUAUAGCAAAGGAAACUCUGCUCAAUAUUUUUUUAAUAACGUAGAAAGGGAAAGAAUCUGAAAAAGAAUGGAUAUAUACAUAUGUAUAACUGAAUCACUUUGCUGAACACCUGAAACUAACACAACAUUUUAAAUCAGCUACACUUCAAUUUAGAAAAAGAUUAAACAGUAUGCUAAGAUCACUAUCUCGAAUUCAAAGUCUGAGUUUCUUGACUUCUGGGACUUUUGACUUGGAAAUAGUCUUCUCGCUGGGUUUAUUUUUAUGGAUCUUGCUAAAGAAUCAUGACACAUUCGCCUUUUGUGUGAAACUCAUCUCUUAACACUGCUGGUAGAUAUGACAUGAAUCCUGGUAACACAAUCAAUCUUUCAGGUUGGUCCAGGAUCUAAGCCUUCCUUUCUUGUUGAAGCAGCAGCUGAACUUCAAAGGAAAGAAAGACGGCUACAAAUUCAACCUUGGCUGGCUACAAAACAAACGAGGUGGUACCUGCGGACCUCACCUUUUCUCUAUACAACUCUAACAGCACAAAUGUAGUCCACUCGGAGAUCUCCUUUCCUACAAGAAAGCUUCCACUGAUACCUAGUCAUGGGAGAUGUGAAUUUUCUCAGGACUUUGGAGCCUUCAAGGUGUCACAAAUGCAGAGAAGAAACAGGGGAAAAGGAAGAAGGAGCAGGGAGAAAAUCAUCUAUCCUCUUUGCUAUUUAUAAACCAUAGUAUGUCCCUGAUUUCAUCAUAGAGAUAAUCUGGGUUGGAGGCAUUUAAGGAAAGACUGAGGAUUUUUUCUGUAGCUCUGACAAAAAAGAAAAAGGAAAGAAAAAGAAAAAAAAUUCUGGAGGUCUAGGCCUCUACGUGCUCCAAAUGCAAAAGGGGAAGUGUCUCAGUUCAAGUUUAGUAAACCAUCACUCUUCCUGUUGUCAAGGAUUUCACGGUUUUGCUCACAGUUGGGAAAGCUCUCAGAGCAGACUUGACAGUAGUUCACAAGUACCACAAAAGAACUUGCUCAGCAAGGAAAAUUCCAAGCUUGGCACUCAACAAUGCAAUAUAUCAAACGGCACCAGUGAGGCUCAGUCGAUAGGAAUAAUCCGCAGCACAGACCAGUACCAACCUUAAACCUGGGCAAGAGGGGACCCUGCCUUGGGUCCCAGCAUUAAGAGUGGUUUUUCUCCCUCUUGUCCUUCUCUGGCCAUGACCCUCCUCAUAGGGUAAGGGGUCCAAGUUGUCAAGGAGACAUGUCUCCCUAGAGCCUGUUUCCCUCCUUUUAAACCAUGUUCCAGAAAUCAGGGAACCUAGAAUUUCAGCACUGGCACAACCCUUUUUCUCAGUCCCUCUUCCCCAGACUGGACAGUUACAGUGUGCAGACCAAGAGGCAGCUCUUCUGAGAAUAUUGAACAAAAAUUUGUACCCAAAGUCCUUCAUGUGCUGGGCAAAUCCCAGGGUGGGAAAAGAAAGGCGGAGGAUGGUCCAGGGUCCAGCUCUUCCCACACUAUCACAGACCAGCAGGAAGCUCCAAAGAGUCCUAGAAUUCUUCCCCCCUUUCUCUCCCUCUGUCUCUCUCUCUGUAUGUAUGUGUAAUAGCAUUAACAUAUAAUGUUAAAAUUAGUAUUAUUAGUAUAUUACAUAUAUUCCAAUCAUCAUAGAGUUAGUCCAGGAACUCUCCGCCAAGAGCCCAAUGUUCUUAGUUGCUCCAAGCAACCACUCACUCUGGGGUCCUGCUGUCUCACCUGGAUACUUGGAGAGUGGGUCUCUACCACCACCAGAAAUCAGAGACUCUGGUCCCCUUCUCAGCCUUGGAUAAUCUCCUCCAUUCUCUGGUUGCUUUCUUAUACCCAAUCUCUCUAAUUGUUUUAGGCUUUCCCAAGUGCCAAGAAGGAUUGUGUUUAAGCAAUUCAAGCUUUAGCCACCACAAAAACAUCGGUGGCAAAGGAAAAUAAAGGCCUUAAGACUGGAAACAGAUUCCAGAGGGAAAAGCCAUCACAAAUAUCUCUAAGUUUUCCAGCAGCAAAAAGAAAAUACAUAGCAAUGCCUCAACGAACAAUCAUGUCAGGUAUUUGAAUUGUUGCAUAUCUUCCAUCACUUUAAAUAGUAUAAAAAUUAUUGUAUAUGUGCCUAUAUUAGGGGGACAGAUUUUAAAUAGCAGAAGCACGAGAUGAGGAGCCCUACUUAAACAAAUAGAAAAUGAGUUAAUGAAUUUCAUGGCUGAAGGGCAAAGGAGAGGCAUUUGUCAUCUGAUUGAGUUUGCUUUUCCAAGAGGAUACCUUAACACACCCUGUAGGAAAGAUAGACUAAUGUUCUGGAAGCCAGUGGUUUCCAGGAGGAAACUCAACGCUUUAUGCCUGACACUGAAAGUUAGGAGAAAUUGUCAGGAUAGAUUGUGAUGGUCUAACCGAGUUCUGCUGACAAGAAAGACACCCCCCACCCAUCCCCCCACAACCCCAAAUCACUCAUCAGGAAGGAAGGAAAGUUUAGGAUGACUACGGAGUUCAACACAGGAGUAUGAAAUUUUGUAGGGGAGGCUGAUUCUGUAUAGCAUAAGGCUGAAGACGGACCAACAAAGAUUUGCUGGUCCAAACUCUUACCCAAGUACAGGGACAGGUUUGGACUAGUAGAGACAUCAUGGUACCAGUGGGCAAAAAGGACAGAUCUCCUGCAGCAACUGCAGCAGAAAUGAUGGCUGCUUCGUGCUUCCACCUCCCUGCCUCCUCUGGGAUGUUAAGGCUAAGCUGGUCUUGUAAUAGGAAAGAACAAAUAGGAAAGAUCUAUGCUGGGUCUUUUACUUUAACCUUUAGUACUCUGCUGCUUGUGCCUAAUCAUGCUAGCUCUGAACCUUUUGCAAAACAAUGUUGCCUAUAGCCUGAAAUAGACAGGAUAGCUCAUUCUCAAGGCUUUCAUCUUUAAAGGUACAACACUCUUCCAUUUAGAUAGAUAGAAAAAGCUGCAGAACAGAGAAUAAUGUUUGUUUUGAUGGAGGUUUACAGGAACACUGUGACCUGAUCUACGUGGACAGGCGCAACACCAAGAAGUUUGUCACAUCCAACCACACUCCCUCCCAUUUUAGUAUAAAAGACGUCUGAGUUCCAACUCAGCUCAGAUGGUUCUUUAGGAUACUUAUCCGCCAUCUUCUCAGUCUGCUGCCUUUCUGAAUAAAGUCAUUAUUCUUUGCCCCAACAAUUCAGCUCCCAAAGUACUGUCCUAUUGUGCAGUGAGCAGAACAAGUUUGGACUCAGCAACCACCCCUUUUGCCUGGGGUCUUUGGACAUUUGAGGGUCUAAAAGGAGGGAACUCCAGAGGAAGAAUUUAUGUUUGGAUUUAUAAUUGUUAAUAGCCAAGACAUGGAAACAACCUAAAUGAUCAUCAAAAGAUGAAUGGAUAAAGAAGAUGUGAUAUGUAUACAUGGUGGAAUACUACUCAGCCAUAAAAAAACAUAAU
rnacentral:lncRNA from 1 species